rnacentral:rRNA from 1 species
ACUCCUACGGGAGGCAGCAGUGGGGAAUUAUUGCACAAUGGGCGCAAGCCUGAUGCAGCCAUGCCGCGUGUGUGAAGAAGGCCUUCGGGUUGUAAAGCACUUUCAGUUGUGAGGAAGGUAGUGUAGUUAACACCUGCACUAUUUGACGUUACCUACAGAAGAAGCACCGGCUAACUCCGUGCCAGCAGCCGCGGUAAUACGGAGGGUGCGAGCGUUAAUCGGAAAUUACUGGGCGUAAAGCGCAUGCAGGCGGCCUGUUAAGUCAGAUGUGAAAGCCCGGGGCUUAACCUCGGAAUUGCAUUUGAAACUGGCAGGCUAGAGUCUUGUAGAGGGGGGUAGAAGUUUCGGGUGUAGCGGUGAAAUGCGUAGAGAUCUGAAGGAAUACCAGUGGCGAAGGCGGCCCCCUGGACAAAGACUAGACGCUCAGAUGCGAAAGCGUGGGUAGCGAACAGGAUUAGAUACC